UUGCUGGAGCUUUCCCAGAAGAAACUCUACAAAGAUGUGAUGUUGGAAACUUACCUGAACCUCAAAGCUGUAGGCUAUAAUUGGGAAGACCAUAAUCUUGAAGAACAUUGUCAAAGUAGAAGAAGACCUGAAAGGCAUGUAAGAAGUCAUAAUGGAGAGAAAAUCUAUGAGUGCAAUCAAUGUGGUAAAGCCUUUGCAAGACCCAGUCAACUCCAAAGACAUAGAGUCAC